rnacentral:rRNA from 1 species
AUGUUGGCUAAACAGUGUUGGAGGCUCAUUGAUAAUUAUGACUCUCUUUGUGCCAAAGUUCUCAGAGCAAAAUACUACCCCUCUGGUGACCUGCUAAAUUGUGAACUAUAGAAGGGCUCAUCCUUUGUGUGGCAAAGUAUUUGGUCAGGGGUCCAAACUUUUAAAAAGGGAUGCAUUUGGAGAGUUGGCAAUGGAUUGAAAAUCAAUAUUUGGGAGGAUUGUUGGAUCCCAAAUAGUAUGUCCAGGAAAAUUAUCACAGUGCGGGGUUACUGUGUUCUCACUACAGUUAAUGAGCUUAUAGACCCAGCUACAGGUGAAUGGGAUGAAGCUUUGAUUCGAGACAAUUUCUGGCAUAUUGAUGCGGAGAGGAUUUUGCAGAUUCCAAUACAUCAGCAUGAUACAGAGGACUUCAUUGCAUGGCAUCUCACAAAGUCAGGUAUCUUCAGUGUCUGGUCUGCGUAUUAUACGCAAUGGGAAGAAUGCUAUGAAUCCAACACUGCAAAUCCGAUUGGUAUUCGAGGCUCCUCACCACACUCAAUAUGGAAAAAAUUGUGGAGUUUGAAGGUACCGGGCAAAGUUAAAAAAAUUAUAUGGAGAUGUCUUCAUGACGCCAUUCCCUGUUUGUGUGUGCUAGCUAAUAGACACAUUGCCACUUCUGCACAAUGUCCUAUUUGUUCGAGGUAUGCAGAAGAUACAUCACACCUUUUGUUUAAAUGCGAAAGAGCAAAAGAAAUCUGGAGUUCACUAGGGCUAUAUGAAAUGAUGGCCAAUGUGGCAGUACCUGGUCGGUCGGGAGCUGAGAUCUUAGAAAUUCUCUUAUGCGAUCAAUAUACAUCAAGAAAAAUAUGGACAGACUUGAUUUACCUGAGCUAA